UUUUGUGGAUGAUCAGAGAAAGUGGUUUCUUGAGAUGGAAUCUACACCUAGUGAAGAUGCUGAGAA
rnacentral:pre_miRNA from 1 species